rnacentral:rRNA from 1 species
UAGGGAAUCUUCCGCAAUGGGCGAAAGCCUGACGGAGCAACGCCGCGUGAGUGAUGAAGGUCUUCGGAUCGUAAAACUCUGUUAUUAGGGAAGAACAAAUGUGUAAGUAACUAUGCACGUCUUGACGGUACCUAAUCAGAAAGCCACGGCUAACUACGUGCCAGCAGCCGCGGUAAUACGUAGGUGGCAAGCGUUAUCCGGAAUUAUUGGGCGUAAAGCGCGCGUAGGCGGUUUUUUAAGUCUGAUGUGAAAGCCCACGGCUCAACCGUGGAGGGUCAUUGGAAACGGGAAAACUUGAGUGCAGAAGAGGAAAGUGGAAUUCCAUGUGUAGCGGUGAAAUGCGCAGGGAUAUGGAGGAACACCAGUGGCGAAGGCGACUUUCUGGUCUGUAACUGACGCUGAUGUGCGAAAGCGUGGGGAUCAAACAGG